GACGAACGCUGGCGGCGUGCCUAAUACAUGCAAGUAGAACGCUGAAGGAGGAGCUUGCUUCUCCGGAUGAGUUGCGAACGGGUGAGUAACGCGUAGGUAACCUGCCUGGUAGCGGGGGAUAACUAUUGGAAACGAUAGCUAAUACCGCAUAACAGUAGAUGUUGCAUGACAUUUGCUUAAAAGGUGCAAUUGCAUCACUACCAGAUGGACCUGCGUUGUAUUAGCUAGUUGGUGAGGUAACGGCUCACCAAGGCGACGAUACAUAGCCGACCUGAGAGGGUGAUCGGCCACACUGGGACUGAGACACGGCCCAGACUCCUACGGGAGGCAGCAGUAGGGAAUCUUCGGCAAUGGACGGAAGUCUGACCGAGCAACGCCGCGUGAGUGAAGAAGGUUUUCGGAUCGUAAAGCUCUGUUGUAAGAGAAGAACGAGUGUGAGAGUGGAAAGUUCACACUGUGACGGUAUCCUACCAGAAAGGGACGGCUAACUACGUG
rnacentral:rRNA from 1 species